rnacentral:tRNA from 1 species
UCCCACGUGGUCUAGUGGCUAGGAUACCUGGCUCCCAACCAGGAGGCCCGGGUUCGAUUCCCGGCGUGGGAA